rnacentral:tRNA from 1 species
GGCUCAGUGGUCUAGUGGUAUGAUUCUUGCUUAGGGUGCAAGAGGUCCGGUUUCGAUCACCGGCUGAGCCC